rnacentral:rRNA from 1 species
UCUGGUUGAUCCUGCCAGUAGUCAUAUGCUUGUCUUAAAGAUUAAGCCAUGCAUGUGUCAGUAUAAAUAGUAUACAGUGAAACUGCGAAUGGCUCAUUAAAACAGUUAUAGUUUAUUUGAUAAUUGAAUUUACAUGGAUAACUGUGGCAAUUCUAGAGCUAAUACAUGCUGUUAAACCUUAAGGUUGUAUUUAUUAGAUAUCAAGCCGAUAAUUUUGAUGAUUCAUAAUAACUGAUCGAAUCGAGGGAUUCCUCGAUAAAUCAUUCAAGUUUCUGCCCUAUCAGCUAGAUGGUAGUGUAUUGGACUACCAUGGCAGUCACGGGUAACGUAGAAUUAGGGUUCGGUUCCGGAGAGGGAGCCUGAGAAAUGGCUACCACAUCUAAGGAAGGCAGCAGGCGCGUAAAUUACCCAAUCCCGAUUCGGGGAGGUAGUGACAAGAAAUAACAACUCGGGAACCUAGUUCUACGAGAUUGCAAUGAGAACAAUUUAAACCACUUAGCGAGGAACAAUUGGAGGGCAAGUCUGGUGCCAGCAGCCGCUGUAAUUCCAGCUCCAAUAGCGUAUAUUAAAGUUGUUGCAGUUAAAAAGCUCGUAGUUGAAUUUCUGGCUAUUUAUAUAUUGGCUUACGUCAAUAUAUUGGUAGUCAUCCGUCUUCGAAACCAUUCCGGCCUUUACUGGUCGAUUGGCGGAGAAGGCAUUUUACCUUGAAAAAAUUAGAGUGUUUCAGGCAGGUUUUCGCCCGAAUACAUUAGCAUGGAAUAAUGGAAUAGGAAUGUGUCCAUUUCGUUGGCUAUUGGACAUAUUAAUGAUUAAUAGGGACAGUUGGGGGCAUUAGUAUUUAAUUGUCAGAGGUGAAAUUCUUGGAUUUAUUAAAGACUAACUUAUGCGAAAGCAUUUGCCAAGGAUGUUUUCAUUAAUCAAGAACGAAGUUAGGGGAUCAAAGACGAUCAGAUACCGUCGUAGUCUUAACUAUAAACUAUACCGACUCGGAAUCGGAAGGGUCUCAAAAGCCUUUUCGGCGCCGUAAGAGAAAUCAAAGUCUUUGGGUUCUGGGGGGAGUAUGGUCGCAAGGCUGAAACUUAAAGGAAUUGACGGAAGGGCACCACCAGGAGUGGAGCCUGCGGCUUAAUUUGACCCAACACGGGGAAACUCACCAGGUCAAAACAUGGGUGGGAUUGACAGAUUGAGAGCUCUUUCUUGAUUCUAUGGGUAGUGGUGCAUGGCCGCUUCAAGUUGGUGGAGUGAUUUGUCUGGUUAAUUCCGAUAACGAACGAGACCUUAACCUGCUAACUAGUAUAUUUCUUAACAAGGGGUAUUACUUCUUAGAGAGACUAUGUGAUUCAAGCACAUGGAAGUUUGAGGCAAUAGCAGGUCUGUGAUGCCCUUAGAUGUCCUGGGCCGCACGCGCGCUACAAUGACACAUUCAGCGAGUUUUUCCUGGUCCGGAAGGAUUCGGGUAAUCUUGUUAGUAUGUGUCGCGUUAGGGAUAGAUCUUUGGAAUUAUAGAUCUUGAACGAGGAAUUCCUUGUAAGCACAAGUCAUCAGCUUGUGCUGAAUACGUCCCUGCCCUUUGUACACACCGCCCGUCGCUCCUACCGGUUUCGAGUGAUCCGGUGAACUUUCUGGACUGCAGUAAUUUAUUACAGCAGGAAGUUAAGUAAACCUUAUCACUUAGAGGAAGGAGAAGUCGUAACAAGGUU